CACACACACGUUCACAACUGUGGCGGUAAAGAUCAAGAUACUCAAUAUUCAACUACGGAUGGGAGUCCAAAUAAAGCCCCAUUUCUAGCAAUAUUAAAAUGGAGGCCAAGAGUGGAUAUAAAGUGAGGCUGAAGAAGUCAGGAGAGGACAGAAAAACACAUCAGACAUGAAAAAUGGAAACAAUACUGAGAAGAACGAGAGAGGAGUUGAAUUCAUUGAAACACAGCUUUUUAAAAAAUGUCCCAAUGAUAUCCAGUGACUUGUAUGUUAAUUGAAAAUAAAAGUACAGAAUGUGGAAAAAAUAUAUGCAUACAUGGAAUUCUGGAAAGCCAUACUGACUCAACACGAACUCUCUGCCAGAGCCUGACAAAUACAGAGGAGAAAGCCUGACAAAUACAAGUCAACUAUUGGACUGAGCUCAGUGGUCCCCACUGGAGGAUAAAGAGAAGUGACUGAAGGAGCUGAGAGGGUUUGAAGCCCCAUGGAGGAAGCAACAACAUCAACAGGCCAGAUCCCCCAGAGUUCCCAGGGACUGGACCACCAACCAAAGAACACACAUGGAACAACCCAUAGUGCUGGCCACAUAUGU